UGGACAUGUUUUCUACACAUAUUCUUAUAAAAGCAGAUUGGCAACUUUGUUCUUGGCCAUUUUGCCGUGCCCAUCAAUAUCUUUACUUUGGUUACAAGGCAUCAGAAGAAGGGAAUUCAUUCCCAUAAUCUGGCACUUGCAGGAUAACAAGCAAAUUCUACCAGCCUACUCCUAUGUAGAGUAAGCAAAAGCCAACAUCAAGAAGUCUAGAAUUUCAAGUUAAGGAAAGGCCUUGGGAAAAAGCUUAUUAGUAAAAAAA
rnacentral:misc_RNA from 1 species